UCUGCACGAGCAGGUCGGGCGCCGCCGGCCUGGAUCUAGGCGAGCUCGAGCUCGGCUGGAUCUGUGCGAGCUCAUCGCCGCGGAGUAGGAACAGGUGGCGGCGCAUCCCUCCCUCCGCGCGGCAUGGAGUCGGCUAGAAAUUUCGAUAUCGCAUGCCUCACACAAUUUGACACUCAAUUCGCAUGUCUUUUGAAAUAUAACAUCACGCGAAUUCUUUCGAUUCGAGAUUUUCAUCCUAUUUUCUCUAUUUCUUUGAUUUUUCCUCUCGUUUUCAUUUUUCAGCCCCUCUAAAAAGACCGGAUUGCCCCUAGUCUUAUCCUUGUCACCGGGAAAUCCAAUCCCUCUCCCGUGGCCUGUCUCUCGCAUCUCUGUGUUCUCUCGCUCUCUCUCGCAAGAACAUGGAGCAAGUACGGCACGGGCAGCACGCGGGAUCAGGUCGCCGGCGAGCUCGCGCGGCUGGUGGGCGGUGGACCACUUCCGCGGCGGCGACGAGGAGGUGCGGGUCACCAUCACGGGGCACAGCCUCGGCGGCGCGAUGGCCCUGCUUGCCGCGCGCGACGCCGCCGCGGGCCACCCGGACUUUCGUCGCCGCCGUCACCUUCUCCGUGCUGCGCGUCGGCAACCGGGCCUCUGCGGAGGGGGGGCUCGCGUCGCGCGGCGUUCGGGUGCUGCACGUCGUCGUCUGGCACGACAUCGUGCCCCUGGCCCCGAGCGUGCCCUGUUCUUGCGAGAGAGAGAGAGAGACAACGAGAGAACAGAGAGAGACGCGAGAGACAACCAGACAGGCCACGGCGGGGGAUUGGAUCUCACGGACUCAAGGUGAAAAGGAUAAGGCCAGGGGCAAUCCGGUUUUUUAGAGGGGCUGAAAAAUAAAAAUGAGAAGAAAAAUCAAAGAAGUAGAGAAAAUAGGAUGAAAAUCCUCAAAUCGAAAGAAUUCGUGUGCAGGAUGUCGUAUUUCAAAAAACAUGCAAAUUGAGUGUCAAAUCAUGUGAGGCGUACGAAUUGCCGGCGCGCUCCCUCACGCAGGUCUUCCUCAACCUUAACCGUGCCCGCCUCUCAGCCUUGCUGACGCUGCUCGCCGCCGACACGGAGGACGCGAAUCCGCGGAGCGGCGAAGAGGUGCGCGUGGAGAUCCAGCAGGAGCUCGAGAAGGAGCGCAGCGCCACGGCGUCCGCGGCCGAGGAGGCCAUGGCCAUGAUUCUGUGCCUGGAGAAGGAGAAGUCCGUGCUCGAGAUCGAGGCCCGCCAGCAGCGACGCACCGCCAACGAGCGCUUCACCACCGCCCUCAGCAAGGAGUCCAUCAUCAACGUUGAGGGUGUCGUUUCCCUCCCCAAGGAGCCCCUCAAGGCCACGACACAGCAAGCAAAAUUGAUCAAGGUGAUCAACAUUAUAAUUGAUGCAAAAUCUGGGGUUAGCGGUGCAGCUACGUAUUUAUUUGAGAUAGCUCAUUCAUUAUCCAUUUCUUCUUGAACAAUAAAUGAUCUGGUCUCUAAUACAUGCAUCCUUUUAGAUGGGGAAAUCAACCAUUACUGUAACACUAACUUUUCUUUCUGCAUUUUUUCCCCACAAGACAAACUUUCUUUCUGGUUCAUUUGAGAGGAGGGAAGGAGUGUCAAGAGUACACAGUUUUCCAUAACUUAAAUUUUUUGCAGGACUUUUUUUCUGUAUUUUUUCCACAAGACAAACUUUCUUCAUGGUUCAUUUGAGAGGAGGGAAGGAGUGUCAAAAAGUACACAAACUUCAAACUUUCAGCUUAAGUUUCAGAAAAUGUCAAAAGUGCAGAGUUUCAGUUCAGCAGCCAGUGCGCUAUGGAUGGUCCCGUGCAUGGUGGCGUUGGACGCGGCACAGCUCAGUAUCAGCAUGGCGCAGCGGAGAUGGCCGGCAUCGGGGAGGACCUCAUCAGCCCUGCCAACGGGAACAGGCCACCGUUGUCUUUCUUUGGCGCGUCCGCCAGGGAACAAGCUCCUCGAUGACCUCCAGCUCCAGGACCAGACUCAUAUUCCUCAACGACGACCGGCACCAGUCGCCCUUGUUCACGGCACCGAGUGCUAGCACCGGCACUGCUCUGCAGCAAGUUAGCAUGUUUCCUGCUCUCCAUCUCUGGCCCCACCUUUGUCAGCGGUGAACCCCAAGCAGGUCAGUUCAUCUUCUCAGGGUUGCAGAUUUGUACUUCAGUUUGCUCUGCAUUUUCUAUUUUCAUUGCAUUGUGCUCCAUAUCUUCAUUGCGAUGUGCUCCAUAUCUCCUGCUGCAUAUAUAGGUUUAGGCCAUUUGCUACCAAAUCUUCAGUCUGUUUUUACUAGGAGAUGAUUGUAGUCUUUGUCAGUAGCAUAAUUGUUUUUUGCAAUACCAUCUAGCACACCUUUUUUUUUUUGCAAAAUCUCCUAUGACUAUAGUUUUGAAAUAUCUGGGCUGCCAUUAUUUUUCAGGGAUUAGAUUAUAGCUGAAACAUGAGUUGUCAAAGUCCUAAUUCGAUUACAUGGUGGAAGGUUCAGAUUUGCUGUGUUACAGUACCAUUUAGCAUAAUUUAGAAUAGCUCUAGGUCCAAUAUUUCCACUGCCAAUGUCGCCAGAUCUUGUCCUGCUCAUGGCUUCGGUCGACUGUGCUCUGCAAGGUUUCCAAACAACGGGGAGGGGAUCUGUUCCUGCUCAUGGCUAGCAAUGUUCCUAUAGUAGUUAUCAUUCUGCACAGGCAGCUUUUUUCAAUGUAUACUGCUGUUCUGAACUUCUAAUUGCACACUCAUCAAAUCAUUUUUGUGAAUUUGGACAGGUGAUCUUUGCUAGAUCUUGUGAUGGACAGAUAAUACACGGCAAAAAUGUUAUCUCUAACCAGUACGCAUUGCAUAGCAAUUUGUGUCAUUUUACAAGCAAAACAGGUUUUGCUGACUGCCUUUUAUGCCAACUUACAGAUAAAAGAAUAUUUAAAAAGGGGAACAAAAAAUUUACUAACUACUGCACUAUUUUUCUUAAAUAUGUCUCAUAGGAAUUUUACUAUAUUUCUCUGGAAUGAUACACCAAUAUGCAAAACAUUCAAUACAACUAAUUUCAGUGGGAGCAAUAGAGGAAAUUUUAAUUUCUGAAUGAUCUCGUAGGUGGAAAUGGCAAUGCUAAUUCAGAUUAUGUUUACCCUUCUUUUUUCCAAUCCAAUAUUUGCAUCCUGACCUCUAAUUUUUAUUUUUAACAGCUUUAUCUAGCUAGAAGUAGGUAGUAGAGUUGCUUGAAGCAGUCAAAUAGUUCUAUACCAUUUAGCUCUCUGGUUCUUUUUUUUUAUUGCAGAGUAUUGGACAGAGAAAAGGAAAGAUAUCAGGAGGAUAGUGGUGGUCCAUCAAGGCAGCAGCCACACUGAACAAAAAAAAGUUUGUUUCUUACUUGAUUGUUGAUGAUUCAUUAAUUAUAUAACUAUAGAGGUUUAUGUCCUUUUUGGUUUUAAUUGGCAUUGUUUGGCCUUUUUUCAAUUUUCAAAUUUAGUGGAAGGAUGAAAUUUGGGCACUUGGUACUCCGCACAGUGCGGGAAGCCUACAGCACUGGGUACGCCCUUUUUUGGUACUCCUCGCUGCCGUGUUCUGCAAAUAUUAGUUAUUUGAUCCAUGAUUGAGUUAUGUUGUAGCAGUUUAACUUUGACUGUAUGCUAUGCGGGGUAGUGAAGUUUUACGUGCAACUAACUUAUUCUCCUUUUAAUGUUUCAAGAAGAAUGCCUACAGAGGCUACAGAACAGAAUAGAAGUUCAGUAUGGUAUUUUCCUUUUAUUAGGCCAAAAGAGAGGCUGACUGAUGCUAAAGCGCAACUAUAAAGAUUUCAUGAUAAUAACUUGGCUUAGGAAAGAGGUUGGAUGCAUGGACACCAUAUCGUGUUCUUCUGUAAAGAGAGUACGCAGCAUUGCCCACUGAAAUUUAUUAAUUUAGUAAAGUUGGCAAUCAGGCUACUGUGCAGCAGAUUUAUUUUGGAUGUAGGCAAGAUGAUUGGGGGCUACUUAUGAGUGGCAUGGUGUAGACAAAUAUUGUUUCUGUGAUGUCUACUGUCCCCAUUUAUCAGAUAAUAUUAACUGACAAGUGUUUAGAUCCAUGCUUCCUAAAACAAACAAAUAGUCUAUUCAUUACUCUAAAGGUCUGAAGGUGAGCACUUGUACCUAAUAUCUCCUUUGUAUUUCUGCGACAGGUUUGUACUUGCAGUAGGAGGCUAGGAGCCAUCUAACUACAUGGCCAAUCAGCCUCAGAUCAUUACUAUAUACUAGUAGUUGCCCGUGCUAACGCCACGGGUAAAUUUCAAACGUACACCAAAAAAUACAUGAUCCAUAGUCCAAACUGAGAAAUAUGUGUUUCACACAAAGGAUAGAGUUAUUAUUUUGAUUACACAAACACAUCCAUAGAGUAAAAUUUCCUUCCUCCA